rnacentral:rRNA from 1 species
AUGACUCCCUCUCCUUCUCUCGCGCCACCAGAGGAACCUCUCCCUCUCGAUCCCUCUCUCCCUCCUAGCACCGUCACCAGGAGAGGAGCAACACCUCUGGACGACCACCCCUGCGACCCCGUGAGCUCGCCGCCUUCGAUCCGGUGCCGCCGGAGGCCACCAGCGCCGCCCAGGUGCCGCACCUCCUUCCUUAGCGCGCCUCCUUCCUUCCCCGGCCUCCUCCUCUCGCCAGUCACCAGGGACGCGCCUCCCUGCUACCGAAGAUGCCGCCAAGCUACGCCCCGCGGUCCUAUCCUCCGACCGCGCCAAGCCCCGCCACCGCCUGCUACCUCACCUCCCCAACCCGAGCUGGCCCGGAUCCGGCCAUCUUCGACACCUUGGGUCGCUGGCCAUGGACGCCUCUGCUCCAUCGCCGGAUGGCUGCUUCGUCGCGCGCCUCUGUUCGUCGUUGUUGUCAUCGUGGGCCCGUGUUGA